rnacentral:rRNA from 1 species
AGGAUGAACGCUGGCGGCGUGCCUAAUACAUGCAAGUCGAGCGGUAAGGCCUCUUCGGAGGUACACGAGCGGCGGACGGCUGAGUAACACGUAGGAACGUACCCCAAAGUGAGGGAUAAGCACCAGAAAUGGUGUCUAAUACCGCAUGUGCUCUAAGGAGUAAAGCUUCGGCGCUUUGGGAACGGCCUGCGCAUGAUUAGCUUGUUGGUGAGGUAAAAGCUCACCAAGGCGACGAUCAUUAGCUGGUCUGAGAGGAUGAUCAGCCAGACUGGGACUGAGAACGGCCCAGACUCCUACGGGAGGCAGCAGUAGGGAAUUUUCCACAAUGGGCGAAAGCCUGAUGGAGCAACGCCGCGUGCAGGAUGAAGGCCUUCGGGUUGUAAACUGCUUUUAUCUGUGACGAUUAUGACGGUAGCAGAUGAAUAAGGAUCGGCUAACUCCGUGCCAGCAGCCGC